GGCGGUUGUGUCCCCAAGGGCCAUUCAGGGCGGAAGGGAACAGGGAAAACCGCUGUGUUGAUUCCCGGGCCCUGUAGGCUGGGAGCGCGGAGGGUCAGGUUACAGACAGUUCACCACAGGCACGUGCAGCGACUCGGUGGUUCACAGCUGUGACCUGUGUGGCAAGGGCUUCCGUCUGCAGCGCAUGCUGAACCGUCACCUCAAGUGCCACAACCAGGUGAAAAGACACCUGUGCACCUUCUGCGGCAAGGGCUUCAACGACACCUUCGACCUGAAGAGGCACGUCCGCACACACACAGAAGUCCUCGCAGAGAAUGGCUGAGGCUGAUUGGGACGCAUUAACUGGGGCUCUGGUGAGCCGACUGAGCUGAGUCCCCUGCAGUGCCUGUAUGACCUGCACCAACGUGGGAAUUGCCAUCUCUCCUGCUGGAAAAUCAGUGCUGCCUGUGGGAAGCCCGCCCUGGUUGGAGCUGCAGUUUCCUACCAGUUUGCUGAGAUCUGUAUCUGUGGACCUGAAUGUUGAUCCCUCGCUUCAGAUUGACAUACCUGA
rnacentral:lncRNA from 1 species